AUUGAACGCUGGCGGCAGGCCUAACACAUGCAAGUCGAGCGGAGCGGCGGACGGGUGAGUAAUGCCUAGGAAUCUGCCUGGUAGUGGGGGAUAACGUCCGGAAACGGGCGCUAAUACCGCAUACUAUCAGAUGAGCCUAGGUCGGAUUAGCUAGUUGGUGGGGUAAAGGCCUACCAAGUCGACGAACCGUAACUGGUCUGAGAGGAUGAUCAGUCACACGGGAAAGGAGAAAAGAUCCAGACUCCUCGGGGAGGCAGAGGUUGGGAAUAUUGGACAAUGGGCGAAAGCCUGAUCCAGAGAUUCCGAGUGUGUGAAGAAUGUUUUCGGAUGGUAGAGCACUUUAAGUUGGGAGGCGUUACCAACAGAAUAAGCACCGGCUAACUUCGUGCCAGCAGCCGCGGUAAUUC
rnacentral:rRNA from 1 species